rnacentral:lncRNA from 1 species
ACAAAGCAAUAAAACAAUCUUUUAAAGAUAAAGAGCUACACCAUAUAAAAUGUGUCAAUGACAUGAAAUGAAAGGCUCAGCGCUUCAUUUUGACUAUACCCAGAUUACUGCAAUUCAAACCAAAGAUGCUGUAUUACAGUUGAGAAUUAACCAUCAAAGUACGAGAUUUUAAGUUACAGUUGAAACAAAGUGGCAUUGGCCAAGGCGAAGUCAAAAAUGACCUCCAGUUUAGAGUUUUGCAAAUUUCAGUUAGUCUCUUAGAAAUUGACCAGUUUUGGCCAACUAUUUGACAAGUCUAAGGAGAACAAAAACUCAACCAGUCUGACUGUAACUGAAACCAGGACCAGAACCCAAAUAAAGUUUCAAACCUUGAACCACACAGAAUGCUUAGGCGUUUACUGUAGUUAUUUGAUGAUGCAGAAAGCCUGGCGGUCAAACUUGUACAUACACGUCUUUGUAUUCUGGUGGCACAUGAUGCACUCAAAAGGUUUGCACACCACAAUCUAUCUACAUCUUACAUGUUUAAAACGGUAAAUUGUUCACGUUACAUUGAGUUCCAACAAAAAUAAUUUGCCACAAUACCUGACUGUCAAAGUGAGUGCUUCUCAUUCCAAAGGGGAAGAUACAAAUAUAUGUAGGUUCCUACAAAAAAUUACUUCUCCUGCUUCUAAAAUUCCCCUGCUUUGAGAAACAGUAUUUGUCCCAAACAAGGAAAAUAUUAUUAGUGGAUUUAAAGAUUAAACAAGUGUAACAUGGCUUAGAGGCAGAACAUUCCAGUUAUAGUAAGAAUCCAGCGGGUAGUACU